ACUAGUCUGGGAGUACCACUUGGAAACAAGGUGCUAAUACCGGAUAAGAAAGCGGAUCGCAUGAUCAGCUUUUAAAAGGUGGCGUAAGCUGUCGCUAUGGGAUGGCCCCGCGGUGCAUUAGCUAGUUGGUAAGGUAAAGGCUUACCAAGGCGAUGAUGCAUAGCCGAGUUGAGAGACUGAUCGGCCACAUUGGGACUGAGACACGGCCCAAACUCCUACGGGAGGCAGCAGGC
rnacentral:rRNA from 1 species